AACGUAGGUGGCGAGCGUUAUCCGGAUUUACUGGGCGUAAAGCAUGUGCAGACGGGUUGGUAAGUGGUGUAUGAAAGCGUCCGGCUUAACCGGGCAAGGGUAUGCCAGACUGCCAGUCUUGAGAAUGGGAGAGGGAUGUGGAAUUCCGGGUGUAGUGGUGAAAUGCGUAGAGAUCCGGAGGAACCCCAGAGGCGAAGGCGGCGUCCUGGCCCAUUUCUGACGUUCAGACAUGACAGCAUGGGGAGCGAACGGG
rnacentral:rRNA from 1 species